GCAUCCUUUUUUGUCUCUUGACAUCUCAUAGAUCUGAUCUUGCUUGAUUUCUUCCGGUCUCGGUUGUUCAUUGUUUCGGGUAAUGGAGAUCGUGUUUGAUUGAUUUGCUCUUGUUUUGAAUUGGGUUUGCUCUCAGAUCAAUGGCCGGAAAACCCUCGGAGGGAAGGAGGAGAGAGAGAAGAAUUGGUGCUGGCCCUCGUUGCCGAAUGACGGAAAUCUGAGAUCUUUCAAAAGGGGAGGAACUAGCCUGAGGCAGCAACUGCAUAACUUGCAAGAAGAUCUGGGUACUCCUUUUAUGACUUUCUUCUUGUCCGGUGCUUCUUGUCUGGGAUUUCUGUAGCCUUCAUCAGAAAGGCAUUGGGGUGCCACUUGCUCUGGCAUUCAACCAAACAGAAGUUUGAUUUUGGUAUAGUGAGCAUACCUAUGAUUUUCUUGCAAGUUAUGCAGUUGCUGCCUCAAGCUCGCUGCCUCCCUUUGCCAGAACUGGUGAGUAGAAAGCACAAUACUCUUACAACGUUGAUAUGCAGUUUUUAAAACUUCAGUAACUAGCUCCAAAGGCAAACAUGUUUUAGAGGUGAGCUGUUUGAUCAAAUGUAACAAUAAAGAUCCGCAGAUCUUAAAAGAAGUCCAUGCAGAAGUUCUAGGUAAGAAACUAUUAAAUGAUAAUAGUUUACAUAUGAAUGUUAAGGUCAUGAAUAUAACUAUAGCAAUUUGCUAUAUUUAUCAUUUUCUUCAUUUUGGCAGUUACAUCAUUAUUUAUUUACCCAUAUACUUCUGGUGGUUUUUUUUUUCUUUCUAUGCUUUAGAAAUGACAACUCUGAUUGGUGCGGUAGUUGACAUGAAGAUCUUCGCAGAGCAUUUGCUUUUACAUCUUGGAGACAAUAACUGUACAAGCAUAUUUUUAUGUAUAGUAAAUAAUCUUAAUAAUUACUGCCUUAACUUUUCAAGCUGCAGUUGGACUUGGAAUCUACAAAUUGACAACAGUUGGUACAAUUUUGACAAUGAAUAAUCAAUGAUAAUGCAUAUAAUUAAACUAAAUGAUUCAAACCAGACAAAAUGUUCUCCAUUUUCUUAUUCUUCUGUAAAAAUGACUUCAAUUGAUAUCGUAGCUGACAUCAUUCUAGUCUGUUUGUUGAUUUGUGAAUGAGAGAUUUUGAGAAAGGUGCAUAUUUUAAAUUUUCAGCCAUGAAGAUUCAAGUGAAGUUGUUAAAUAAAUGGCAUAUUAUGCCAUCUUCUUUAGUCAAUUCUUUAGCUUUAACAGCUGAUACGGUAAAGUCAGAGGAAAAUUUACCAAAGUUCUGAAGAUUAAUCGGGGUGAUUAUAAUCAUCUGUGAUUCUUACAAAGGAUAUAGGCUUAUAGCUUUCCUUAUUAGAAAUGUUGUACUAGAGUUAAAAAUUGACCAUUCUUGAUAACCUGAUUUUUUUGUGUAGUUAUGAUGCAAGAUUAGUCUAAACAUGCCAAUGCAGGUUAUAGCCAGGUUAGAUCAACUGAUCCAACACCUAAAAAUAUCCUUCAUCUUUGUCAAAGUUCUGAAGAUUAAUAGGGGUGAUUAUAAUCAUCUGUGAUUCUUACAAAGGAUAUAGGCUUAUAGCUUUCCUUAUUAGAAAUGUUGUACUAGAGUUAAAAAUUGACCAUUCUUGAUAACCUGAUUUUUUUGUGUACUUAUGAUGCAAGAUUAGUCUAAACAUGCCAAUGCAGGUUAUAGCCAGGUUAGAUCAACUGAUCCAACACCUAAAAAUAUCCUUCAUCUUUGUCUUAGAAGAUGAAAUUUUAAAAAGGCAAAGUAAUCUCUUGUUUUUUUUUUUUUCUUUUUGAGUUUCAUGUACCAAACUCAUGCCGAUCUAUGGCCAAACCAAAAUGGGUCCAGUCCAUGAUAACACAGUUUGUUGGUGUGUACCAUGGUACCAAGAAGGGGGAAGGGAGAAGUAGGAGAAGAGGAGGCAAAGGACAGGGGAGGAGGAAGACGAGACAAAUGAGGAAGAUGAUGAGGAAAGUAUAGGGAGAUCAGAUGGGUCAGCAGUGAUUGGCUGUGGCCAUCGGCGGGUAGGCAACAGGCGGACAUGAUAGUAGUGGCAGCAUGCGUAGGGGAGAGGGUGCUGGAGGUAAUUGUAGGGUCGGGGAGCUAUGAAUAGCAAAUUGCAUGACCCCCUGCCCUAAGAUUUGUCACUCAUAUUGAAAAAAUAAAUCAGACCAGGAUUGCCCAAAAGGGGGCAGCAUGUAUUGGUUUGGGCAAAAUGGUGAUCCUUGAUCUGACCCUUCAUUUUAUUUGAAUUCAACAACUUAUGGAGGAAUUAGAAAGAUUUUGAACUCGAAUUGUGUAAAUAUGUUAAUAUACUGAAUAUGGUUUAGAAUACAUUGAAUCCUGAUUCUAAAUAUUAGAGGAUAAUAAUUCCAAAUACUAGGAACUGUGGUUCCUAGGAAGCUUCAGAAUCAUGGAGAUUCAGAAGCACUUGUAUUUAGGUUUCUCUUUGAUUCCCACUACUGCAGAUAGGGCUAGGCUAAAGGAGUGAGAAUUAAGGUCGUUAAGGCUCCAAAUAGAUAAUCUCAAAUCUGUUGAAGAUAUUGAAUGAGAAUGACAACAACAAUAAUAUAUGAAUCAUAAUACUCAUGUGCAUAAUAUCUAAAUGAAAUAUAAUUUGCAACAAAAACAAGAACAACACCAAGUCAUAUAUCCCAACUAUAUGGUAAAUAAAUGGAAAGAAGACAAAAUAAUACAUAUUAACUUAUAAUAAUACAUGAUGAUAACCCAAUAUUUUAAACAAAAUAUGUUAUGUGUCCAAAGCAAUAUAACUCCAUCUUAUAAGCUUAAAAUCACAUUGUGAUAGAUGGGGUUGGGGGGUCUACAAGAAUGUAUUCCAAAUGCUAGUUUAUUGUUAUGUCAAUAGGUUGGAUCUAUGCCAGAUUGUGUUUCAUGUUACGUCGAUAUAUUGGAUCUCUGCUAGAUGGUUUAUGUGGAUAAAGUGAGGAUUCCCACUUGAAUUAUGGGCUAGAUUUAGAAGUAGUCGAGGCUGAAAAAAGAACAUACGCUUAGUUGUAUACAACUUGUAUCGAACGAAUGUCGACCUGUAACAGUUUGGUAUGCCAUGGUCCACUUUCAGUACAGAGUAUUUUACAAAUACAGGACAUUAUGUAUCCCAAUAUUGACUGUACCAGUACAUACCGCCUGCACUGACUGUAACAGUUGGUGUGCCACGGUCCACUUUCAGUACAGAGUAUUUUACAGGUACAGGACAUUAUGUAUCCCAAUAUUGACUGUACCAGUACAUACCGCCUGCACUGACUGUAACAGUUGGUGUGCCACGGUCCACUUUCAGUACAGAGUAUUUUACAGGUACAGGACAUUAUGUAUCCCAAUAUUCACUGGACCAGUACAUACCACCUGCACCGACCAGUAUGGUAAUCUAAGAUCAUGAUUAUCUACUUAUAGUGGCCUGGAAAUUUGUCUUUUGUGCACCGGAAGAUUUCAAAGAGUUAAUCCGACAUUUUUGCAAGAUGUUCAGGAUCCAUUCUUCAUGUUAGACACAUGUGAAAGCUCUUUGUUCACAAUCAAUUACCGAUACUCGUACAAGAUCCUCGAACAAGAAGCACAAGGGGAUAUACUACUAUCUACAGUACAUUGUGAAAGGAGAAGCAACUUUGCAGUUUUCUAGUUUGCUAUAAUUUCUUAUUCAUCUUCAAGCCUAGCCAGAUUUAGGAGCAGUUUCUUAGGCAACCUAGUGACGUUACGGAGAACAUCCAUGAAUGAUAUGACAUUGGGAUCAAUCAUAGACCAUUGUAUGUAGUUUUCUGAGAUACUUCUGUAGUAAGAAUAUAUCCUAUAUCAGAAAUAUAACUGUCAUAUUGUUUCCAAGAGCCUUAUUUUUAUCUUUUUUCUUUUUGGGUUACUCUAUAACUGAAGAAAGUUGACAUGUCAACAAAUAUACCAAUAGAACAAACAGCAGCAGUCCAGAACUUGUAACUCAGAAAGGAUAAAAUUCAUGAAGGUUGCAGUGGAAGGGAACUUAGUUGUAUGGAAAGAUGUUGCUCCUUUGCAUUUGGUUUUGCUACGAGCAUGAAUUUGCAUCUUUUUUUGCAAAUCUCUAGUAUUUUACUACUUUGUCAAAGAUAUGACUACCAUAUAGCUAUGUUGUAGUCUCUAUGUGGAUGCACCAUUCUCUUGGCCCUACAACCCUUGUGGAUGGAGAAGUCCUCUUAAUGAGGCAGACAAAUUGUUGACUCAAGUGACCUGUUAUUAUUGUGAUAUCGUAGAAUGAGCAGAAGAUCUGACUUUGAUGAUAUCAAUGAAAGGAUCGAAAGUUUUCUACUGGAACUAAUUGAAUGAUCCAAAGAUUAGUUGAACAACAAUCUAAAUUUUUUAAAAUAUGGUUGGUUAGGAGGCGCACAAUGGAAGCUACAAGUAACUUUGAGCUGAUUGUGAAAGCCAAACAGGAUAUAAGAUCUGGUUCUUAUAGUGAAAUCCUUCAAUAGAUUCCGAAGUCACAGAAGCUUCCAUGAUGAUAGUAAUUUAGCAUAUGGAAGUUGACUUGUCAAAUAUUAACAUGCUCUUGAUGGACAUGAAUUGCCAACUUUGAUUUCUAUCAUUGGCAACUGCACAUUUAGCUUCAAGAUCUGUUCCUUGCACCCCAACAUAUCCAUUGUGGAUAAGGGAUAGGUCAUCUCUAAUCAGAAAUGAACUAUUUGCAUUUUGGAUCUUCUUCAAAUUCUAUUGGUUAAAAAGAUUAAGCAGGACUAACUAUUAGAGAAUAAUUGUAUGAUUUUCAUCUUCAAUGCAGGACACUCUUUUCAUCCCUGGCCUUGUCAAAUAUUAACACUCUUGAUGGACAUGAAUUGCCAACUUUGACUUCGAACAUUGGCAACUGCAUAUUUAGCUUCAAUAAUGUAGAUCUGUUCCCUGUGCCCCAGCAUAUGUAUUGUGGAUAAGGGAUAGGUCAUCUCUAACCUGAAAUGAACUAUUUGCAUUUUGGAUCUUCUUCAAAUUCUAUUGGUUAAAAAAUAUUAAACAGCCCAAACUAUUAGAGAAUAA